rnacentral:rRNA from 1 species
UUGCAGAGGAAAGAUCCAGAGAUGGUGAUGCCCUUCGGGGUCUCUGUGAAGGUGCUGCAUGGUUGUCGUCAGCUCGUGCCGUGAGGUGUCGGCUUAAGUGCCAUAACGAGCGCAACCCCUUUCCCUAGUUGCCAUCGGUUUUGGCCGGGCACUCUGGGGACACUGCCUCCGCAAGGAGUGAGGAAGGUGGGGAUGACGUCAAAUCAGCACGGCCCUUACGUCCGGGGCUACACACGUGUUACAAUGGGUGAUACAGAGGGCCGGCCGCUGGCAACAUCGGUCCAAUCCUUAAAGUCAUCCUCAGUUCGGACUGGGGUCUGCAACCCGACCCCACGAAGCUGGAUUCGCUAGUAAUCGCGCAUCAGCCAUGGCGCGGUGAAUACGUUCCCGGGCCUUGUACACACCGCCCGUCAAGCCAUGAAAGCCGGGGGCGCCUGAAGUCCGUGACCGCGAGGGUCGGCCUAGGGUGAAACCGGUGAUUGGGGCUAAGUCGUAACAAGGUAGCCGUACCGGAAGGUGCGGCUGGAUC